rnacentral:rRNA from 1 species
CAGCCGUAAACAAUGUGCGUUAGGUGUGUCGGUAACCACGCGUUACUGAUGCGCCGAAGAGAAAUCGUGAAACGCACCACCUGGGAAGUACGGUCGCAAGGCUGAAACUUAAAGGAAUUGGCGGGGGGAGCACCACAACAGGUGGAGCCUGCGGUUUAAUUGGAUUCAACGCCGGGCAUCUCACCGGAUAAGACAGCUGAAUGAUUGUCAAUCUGAAGGUUUUACAUGACUAGCUGAGAGGAGGUGCAUGGCGUCAGUGACU